UACGUAGGGUGCGAGCGUUGUCCGGAAUUUAUUGGGCGUAAAAGGGGCUCGUAGGCGGUCUGUUGCGUCAGGAGUGAAAACUCGGGGCUUAACCCCGAGCCUGCUUCUGAUACGGGCAGACUAGAGGUAUGCAGGGGAGAACGGAAUUCCUGGUGUAGCGGUGAAAAUGCGUAGAUAUCGGGAGGAACACCUGUGGCGAAAGCGGCGCACUGGACCAUAACUGACGCUGGAGGCGCGAAAGCUAGGGGAGCAAACAGG
rnacentral:rRNA from 1 species